CCUACGGGAGGCAGCAGUGGGGAAUAUUGGACAAUGGGCGAAAGCCUGAUCCAGCCAUGCCGCGUGUGUGAAGAAGGCCUUCGGGUUGUAAAGCACUUUCAGUGGGGAAGAAAGCCUUGGGGCUAAUACCCUCGAGGAAGGACAUCACCCACAGAAGAAGCACCGGCUAACUCCGUGCCAGCAGCCGCGGUAAUACGGAGGGUGCGAGCGUUAAUCGGAAUUACUGGGCGUAAAGCGCGCGUAGGCGGUCUGAUAAGCCGGUUGUGAAAGCCCCGGGCUCAACCUGGGAACGGCAUCCGGAACUGUCAGGCUAGAGUGCAGGAGAGGAAGGUAGAAUUCCCGGUGUAGCGGUGAAAUGCGUAGAGAUCGGGAGGAAUACCAGUGGCGAAGGCGGCCUUCUGGACUGACACUGACGCUGAGGUGCGAAAGCGUGGGUAGCAAACAGGAUUAAUACCGAUAGUC
rnacentral:rRNA from 1 species